CGUGGAGACAGGUGGUGCAUGGCUGUCGUCAGCUCGUGUCGUGAGAUGUUGGGUUAAGUCCCGCAACGAGCGCAACCCUCACCCCUGGUUGCCACCGGGUAAAGCCGAGCACUCGAGGGGAACUGCCAGCGUCAAGCUGGAGGAAGGCGGGGAUGACGUCAAGUCAUCAUGCCCCUUACGCCCCGGGCUACACACGUGCUACAAUGGCCGGUACAAAAGGACGCGAGACCGCGAGGUGGAGCUAAUCCCAAAAAACCGGUCUAAGUUCAGAUUGCAGUCUGCAACUCGACUGCAUGGAGGAGGAAUCGCUAGUAAUCGCGCAUCAGCACGGCGCGGUGAAUACGUUCCCGGGCCUUGUACACACCGCCCGUCACACCACGAAAGCUGUCUGUACUCGAAGUCGCUGAG
rnacentral:rRNA from 1 species